rnacentral:misc_RNA from 1 species
GCAACUGCUCGAAUGAAAUUACAUUCAUAUAAUUACAUAAUUACAUCAAAAUCUAAUUUACAAGGAUAUACCUAUGAUAUACCCAAAGAUAGUCCCACUGUCUUCAAGUAAUCUCACUCAGCAUCUCUAUAUUUUCUUUCACCCGGCAAUAACUCGGCAACGAAGCAAUUGCUGUCCACCAGUUUCAGCUUUAGAUUCAUGAAAGUGACCAUGAAAAUGCCCUACGCUCGCUACAGCACCCAUAUCUCGAUCUCCGUGAACAGCGUCACUCUCUGCUGGGCCUACGGCAAUACUACUACAUUUCUUGCUAUAAAUACUACUGGCCAUAGAAUCCACCAUUAGUGUUAUUAUAGCAGACAACAUAGCCACAAAACCAGUAAAUGGAAACUUAUGCCAUGGAUUUUCCUUCAAGCAGCUCAACGAUAAAAUGUCGAAAGAAUCAAGCAGAAAAUGCAUAAACUCAGUGGCAAGUAUAAUUCCUGCUGCAAAUGUUUUAACGAUCACAAAGAGGUUUCUUUCUGGAUUUAGAGCAGGAAUUGAACGUGUAAAAAGAGGAGCUCCAACAUCUAUCAUGCUUAUUACUAAAAUUGAGACUAUGGCUGUGAUUUUUAGAGACAAAGCUUUUUCUUUAUCAUCGCAAUGAUUGCUUCUUUCUGUCUCACAUUGGUCGGAUUCUGACAUGGCUUUGGAUGUGAAGAUGGAGUGGAUGAUAAAGAUAAUUGGAAGGAGGUUUAGAAUAUUAUUG